CCCACCUAUCAGAGCCCUCCAGAGGCUGAAAAGUACUGACGCCGCCGUUUGUAGGGGUCUUUACUUUUCUCCUGAGGACACCCCUUUCUCCAAUCAGCUGGGGUAGCAUUUCUUUAUCUUCCUGUCUCUCUGUCACCAUCCUGGUCUGGCUGUAAGAUCGGUUUCUGAGCCCGUUCCCUUUCCCCUUUAGUGAGUAUGCACCGCGGGUAGCUGGCAACUGAAUCCUGCGGGAGCGGCUCUGACGCGGCCUGCUUGGCUUUGGGGCUUAGAAGGGUUCCAUCAGUCUGCCUUGUGAGAGGCGGUGGAGGGCAGUGGUAGGAGGCAGACCUUGAAGCUGGACAGCCCAGGUUAAAGCCACUGCCCCUUCCACAGCCAGCCGCGUGAUCUGGGGUACGAUGGACAUGCUCCGUGACUCAGUUUCCCCUUCUGUAAAUGCAGGUAGUACCUUAUCCAAUGCUCUGAGGCGUAGUGUGAGAAGCCAACAGGCUAAUAGGUGUAAGGCAAAGUGUGCCUGGCAUGGAGUAAGAGCCCUGGGUGGGAGGGAGUGGUCCCCCUGCCGCACCCUCCACACUCCCUGGGGACGCAGCUGCUGAGAGCCAGUCUAGGGCUUCAGACCCGCAUUUCCGCACAGUGUGGCUUCAGUGUAAACCCACUACAACCCUGGACAGAAGCUGGCUGUUCUGGACUCCCUGGGAAGAGAGCUCCAAAAUAGCAUCUUCCAGAAGGAUUUCCAAGGGUAACCAAUGACACAUGAUUUAGCCUCACAUUGGGGGGACCUGUGCGGUCUGGGGUGGACUCAGUAGGAGAGGGUUAGCCAGGCUGCUCCAGUCCUGCAGAGGCCUUGGCCGGCUCCUGGGAGCUAACCUCUGGGCCCUCGAAAUAUCCUGCCCGAUAGGGAGUCUUGGUGACCCCGGAGUCUGGUGUGCUCUCGAAGUGGGACUUACGGUGAAUGCCUGUUUCUGUUCACCUGGGCCUCUGGCCUCUGCUUCAGCCUGUCUGAGCUUCUGGGGAGGCUAGAGACAGAGCAGUUAAGAUCAGUUAUGCGAGCGCCCCUGGCCUUCAAGCCUGACUCCCAGUACAACCCUGGACCCCCAGGCUCGGGGGCCAUGCGCGUUAUCCCCGAGAGAGCAAACAUCGUCCACAGGACUCCAGGGUGAGAGGACAGCUGGAGACUCGGCGGGUCUCACCUUGAACCCCAUCUGCUGCACCUUUCCCUUUGCUGAUUUUAAUCUGUAUCUUUUUUUUUUUUUUUUUUCUGGAAUCUGCCAUGAUUGUGAGUACGGCAGCUUUUCUGAAUCCUCUGAGUCCUUUCGUCAAAUCAUCGAACCCAAGGGGAGCCCUGCAGACCCCUGACACAGCCUUCCGUUCCUUUUCAUCUGCUCAUUGGCCAGCCACCUCCAGCCCCUCCACGGUCUCCGACUUGCUGACUCUCCAAUCCCACCUUCUCCAGAAGGCUCGUUCAGUUCAUGACACCGGCUCCUCCUUUUAACAUGUCCUGCUUGUUUCACUCACCGAAUCUUCCAGGGAAUGGCUUCCUAUGAAUAGAGAAUGGAAAGAGAAAAUAGAAGUCUGUCUGGAGGAACCUGGCCAACACCACCUUAACCAAUGAUCCAGGCUUCUAUUGUGCAUGAUGUCGCUUGGCUCUGGUGCACUCUCUGAUCUGACAGGAGGAGAAGGGCACUCACUUCUGUGGUACUCUUCCCCCAAACUCGUAACUCCAGUGGAAUCCUGAAACAAACAAACAAACAAACAAACAAAACGUGAGAUGAUCUCAGACUCAGGACAUUCUACAAAAUACCUGACCAUGACUCUUCCAAACUGUUGAGGUUAUGAUAAACAAGGAAAGAUGGCCUAGGAGGUAUGUAAAUGUAAUGUGGGGGCCUGGAUUUGGACCCUGGAACAGAAAAAGGACAUUAGUGGAAAAACUGGUAAAAUCUGAACAGAGCCUGUAGUUUAGUUAAUAGUAAUGUACUAUUGUUAUUAUCAUGGUUUUGAUUAAUAUACCACAAGUUAUGUGAGUGUUAACAUUAGGGAAACUGGGAAAAGCAUGUAGGGCAACUUUGUAUGAUCUUUGCAACUUUCUGUAAAUCUAAAAUUA